CAGAGCCCUCCCUCCCCAGGUCCAUAUAGCUCCCUAGCGCCCAUAGAGCCCUCCCUCCCCAGGUCCCGUAUAGCUCCCUAGCACCCAUAGAGCUCUCCCCAGGUCCCAUAUAGCUUUCUAGUCCCUAUAGAACCCUUCCCACUCCCAUGGGGUCUUCAAGUCCCAUCUAUAUCUAAAACUAUAUCUAUGUCUCUGCUCAAGGAGCAUGGAGUCCCUGCAAAUCCCUUAUAGCCCCUCCCAGAGUCUAUACAGCCCCAUAUAAUUAUCCUCAACUCCCAUAUAGCCCCCUCAGGCCCAUCAAGCCUGUAUAGUUCUCUAGGUCCCCUAUAGAACCCUACACAACUCUUCCAGGGUCCUUAUAUAGUCCCUUGGCCUGUUUUGACUCAUAAAGUCCCCAGAAGCCACAUAGCCCCAUACACCUCUAUGCCAUAGAGCUCUCAUUGAUAAGGCGACCAUACGUCCCGUUUUGGCCCGCACACAGUCCCUUUGUUCAGCCCUGUCCCGGCCAUCCUGACUUUUUUCCCCAAAGGAGGCAUGUGUCCCCUUUGCUCUUGCUGACUUGAUCAGUGGGCAAGAGCGAACAGGACAAAUGCCCACUUUUUGGGAGGGAAAAAAAAGUGCAGUGUAGAGGGGGUGAGCGGAGAUGCCAGCCCCCCGUAGUGGGGAGCCAGGGCUGGGGUGAGGAGCAGGGUUCCAGCAACCGGGCAACAACCUCGCUGUGAGUGGGGGUUCCAGCCAGUAUGGGGGGAGUCUUCGGGCAAAUAGCUGGGGGUGUCCUGUUUUCUCUGUGGGAAAUAUAGUCACCCUACUCAUUGACAUAUAGCCUAUGAGGUCCUAUAUUCUGUAUACAGGAGACCUUUGUCCACCUAAUAUCAUGUAAAAGUGGCCAUAGGGUGGGCAGUGAAGUGUAUGAGACCCUAUUAAGUGCCCAUUGCCAAAGCCUUCUUUAUGUGUAGGACUUGCAUUUUCAUUGAAUUCCUUUGAGGGGAGAGGAUUUAUUUGACAGCCACGUUUUGGUCAUUCAGCCAAUAUUUCCCAGAAGAAGAUUCAGCUUUAUAAAUGUGUGGGGGAAAGUGGACUCUGGUAAUUACUCUGACUAAUUUAAAUGGACGAGAUAAAAAGAAAAUGGAAGGGUGAGGUUUUAAAAUUGUACACGACCGCGCUGACUUCUUACCCAGUGCCACAUCACAGAAGACUGCUUGGCAGGAUGAUUUUACCAUCCCGUAACUGCUGUGAAAUGGCCUCCCCGUGACUUCAUGCGAGAUGGAUUCUGAAAGAUCUGUGAACAAGAAAAAAGUCAUCAAUUCCAGCGAACCUUGCAGUGAAUUUAUUUCAGUGCCUUCCUAGCUGGCCAUUACUCUGUAUAUGAGCAGUUUCCUUUGCAGCCUGUAAAUGGUGUGGCCUCCCCACUGUGCACUCAUUGUCUCUAAACCUCCUUUCCCCCAUAUGCUGCUCUCCCUGAAAGACCUUUAGGUGAAGCCAGAGCAAAGAGAAGGAUAGUUUUACUGAUUGCCACAUAAAAAAGAUAAUUCCCCUAUCACAAGGAGCUGCAGAGCCAGAAAUAGAUGCCAGUUCUUCUGACUGCCUGUUCUGUGCCUUAAUCACUAGGGCUAGGCCAUGCUCCCUCGAGACAGGGAAGUGAAAUUGGAAGCAAUGCAUUUAGUGAACAUGGAUGCUCGUUGCGUUUGGUGCUUUAAUACCGCCCUGGAUACAUGGACUACUAAUAAAAUUUGUCAUGCUAACUGCAUUUGCAGCUAAUGCUACCCAGGACAAGGGCCUGAUAAAUCUCCCUUAGACGUCAAUUGCAAAACUCCCAUUGGCUUCCACGGCAGCAGGGUCAGGCCCUAAAUUAUUGAAUAUAAUCCUGUGCUGCAGAGAACUAUACACUGAUCUCUGUCUGGAGGGAGUAGGAAAGAAAUUUCCCCUGUCAGAGAUAACACUGUACAAUUAAUCACAAAGACCCUGAGGGGUAUGCGGAGGGAGGUAGCCUUCUUCAGUAGCAAAAAGGAUUGGCCAUUUGCAGAGAUGGGAUACCAAAAUAGAGGGUAUGAUUCCCUAGCAAAUUCUCUGGCAUGUUGGUAGAGGGCGCUGCCUGUUUCAUCUACGAAUGUGCUUGGAAUUUUCAGUGUACACCUUGUUUAAUCUGCCAGCAAGGCACUGGGCUACAGCAAAAUGGGUGGGGUAGUGUGAGAGUAUGGACAGACUGGAUUCUCUUGGAAAGGGAGUUUGCGCCAAAGAUUGAACAUGAAACUACUUGAGUGGAACAUGCCUGCUGGAUCAUUUGUUUUCAGUGUACACACCCUACCCGGGGCUGGAAUUCAACUCCCAGAACUAGGGAGGCCCAUCUUGGCAUUGGCCCAUGAGAGGUAUCUUCUCAGGAUCCACCUUUGGACUCCCCUGCUUGGCCCCAGCCUGACUCCACCCCUUAAGAGGAAGAGAAGGCAGAGGCUGUAGAAUUAUUUCAACCCCAGCCAAAGGCUUUUCUCUGGACCAGAUUAAUCACUGACGCAACUCCACUGCAUUGGUUUACCCUAGGGAUGGAUUUGGCCCACCAUGUCAAAGUCCAUCUGGCCACAUUUCCUGCAUGCUAACAACGCUGGAGGGGAUCAGAGAGAGAACCCUGUUCUGCAGGGCUGACAAAACCCCACCCACUCUUCUGGAGCAAACCCAGUUCCCCUCCUCCUUCAGUGCUUGGCUGUCUGCAUGGAGCCAUGAUUUCAUCUCUGCAGCCCUUUGUGGUUUAUUGUUUGGCAGGAAUGAAUCAGGGGCUUAUUCACUGGAAAGAUUUUUUUUUCUUUGCUUUUCAACCAGAUGCAAUCAGUAACCAGGUUACAGUUGUUCAGCAAACUAGAGAGCGGUUUAUUACCCAGUAACAGCUGCCUCUGGUGACUAUGCUAGCAACACAUGCACACACACAAAACUCAUCCAGUAGCCCACCCAACAUACACAUGCAAACCUCAGUUUGUAUUCCACACGCACACAAAUCUUAAUCUUGUAGCCCCUAUUAUAUACAGACACACAAACUUCAUUUUGUAGCCCAGAUCACACAGGUACGGUACAUACCUCAGCGAGUAGACCAUAGUUUACACACAAACACACACGCCUCAGCUAGUAGCCCACAUUACAGAUGCACACACACUACACCCCUCAGCCAGAGUAGCUCACCUGUGGAGCUGGCAAAUUUCCCCCCAGGCUCCUGGCCUCUCUCACAACUUUCCUUUUUUGACAAAUGUUGCAAAACAAGACCAAUAAGUCAAAUCCAAUGUAAAAUAAAUUAUUUCAAAGACCUGUCCUUUAUUCAAAUAUGUUUAAGAUCUGUCCUGCUGGCUCCGUGGGAUUCCUUGGCACAUGCUCAGGCAAAAUAAAUCCAGUUCAUUUGCAGGGCUGGAUUCUCAGCUGCUUUGCAUCUUGCUGGUAUCGUUGGGAAUUUAACCUGAAUCCCUUGAUUCCUCAUCCUGUAGUUCAGCCACAAGGCCAGCCUGAGUGGUGCAUGUAACUGGUUGAGAAAGCAGAUCUUGCCAGGAUGGUGCACCGUGUUUUAUUUUCUGGCAGCCUAGACCACACAAGCAAAACCCCUUCACCCCUGGUUAGUGAAUAAGUCACUUCAAGCUUGACUUUCAAAAGCCUUCACAAUUGGGACCAGAUUUUCCAGUGAGCUCUGCUCUCAUUUAGGCACUUAAAUGAAGUGGCAAGGUUUGCAAAAAUGCUCGGAAUCCUGCAGACCCUCUUGUCCCAACUGGUAGUCAGCUGGUCAGCUGUCAUUGCUACUUAUCAUGUAGUCAAUCAGCUCAUCCUUGCCUUGUGCUCUCCUCACAACGGUUUGUUGUAUCCACAUGUUGUGUCUCAUCUUGUCAAUCUUUUUGGGGCAAAGACCACCUUUUGGUUAUGGGUUUGAACAGCAUCUCGCACAAUGCUAAACACU